ACCAGUUCCUGUAAGAUUUAGACAGGAAGUAUAUGUGUGUUUUGGGAUUUAUGCAUUUAAUGUCUCUACAGGAAUGUUAUUUCACAUCAAUAUUCUGAUGCUGUAUACCAGUCGCCCAUCAUACCCUUAAUAUAUUGAAAGACAGUAGUGGUACAGGGAUUUGGACAAUCUAUCAUCUACAGGAUGAUGUCAGGAUCACAAACAAAUAACAAAAUCUGUUCAAGAACAUCAAGAAACUGUCCACUGAGACAUAAAAACAUGUACAGAGGCAAUUUCAAAAUACACACAAAGCAGGAUUUGUCAAAAGUGUGUUUUUGACAAAGAUGCUGGUUUAGAACCUUUGUGGAGGUGGAUAUUGAAACUUCUUAAAACUCUUGAAGGAUGAGGAAAAGGAACCAUUGAAAUGGAACAUGUUGGACAGGGUUAUCAAGAUCAUGCAUUUAUAAAAGAUGACAGAAUAUCAGCACUGCAUUAAGAUUGGAGUUGGGACCUUGUAUUUUUUUACACAGAAAAAAAAGAACAGUUGCUGAAUGAAACAGAGGCUAGCAGAAGCAAAUGCAAUUAGCCCAAAAUAAUGGUGAUCAAUUUUGAAUGAUUUUAGUCUCUGGUUGAAAUGAUACUGAUCCAAUUUUAGAAGUGGUUGACAAUGAAUACUAAGUAUUUUGUUGUAUGUAAGUAUAAUGGCUUAUUUUAAAACUGUAUAAAGCUUGCAAUGUUUAUGUCAAAUGUAAUGAUAUUAUGUAGGAAUCAAUUUUUUUUUUAAGGAUAAAAGAUGUAAUUUUUUUUUCAAUCAGAAUUUCCUAAAAAGACUUUCUAAUGUAAAUACAUGUAUGGAUAAUAGAGAUUAUAAUCUUUUCUUUUACUGUCAUUGAAAUACUGUAGUAAUGACCUGCAAUUUUACACCAAAAAUGUUUUAACAUAAAAUUUCAAAUUUCAAGGUUUUAUGAAGUUUGAAUUGCGGCUCAUAUUGCUCUUUAUUGAACUAUCUCCCUUAACCUUAGAUUUGUAGUGCAUUCUAUGUAAUAAAUUUAAUUUUGGAACAUGGGAAAGGUCUUGUUUUGAACUCUGCUGAUUUUAAUUCAAGCAGAGUAAAUGGGUUUAAUACAUGUACAUCUAUAUUUCACAAAUGAAAUGGCUAUUUUAAAAAAAUAUAUACAUGUACAUGAAAAUCUGUACAAAUAAAUGAUCUUCCCAAAAGAGUCAUUUCCCUUGUUCACAAUGUAAAAAAAAAUCUGAAUGAUAUAUAUAUUAUGCAUGACAGUUUUACAAAAAUCAAAGAGAUAAAUCUGUAAAUUUUAUUUUAUAUGUUUUAGAAAUGUCCUCAUUGUGUCCAGUAUCUGCUUUUCUUACUAGUAUUAAUGAUGUUGAAAUAAACUGUGCUAAUAUUAAAAAGUAUUUUUAUAUCAUGAUUAUAUAUUGAACCUUGUUCAUUGGAGCUGUGGCCAGAAGUGUUUUGCCAAUACAGCUAGGGGUUCAAAAUAUUUCACAGAGUGAGAUUAAAAUAUAGAAAUAUAUUUAUUAUGGUGAAACUUAUAUUUAGAAAACAUCUUGUUGGAUCUUUUCUCAAGUAUGAUCUCAGUUAAAAGGAACUGGUUGUACUAAGAGCUUACAUGUACUUGUAUAUAUUCUACAUAUUUAUUUAAAUGCUUUUGGGUCUAGGAAAAAGGCACAAUGUGAAGAAAUGUGAACAUUUUUAGCCAAACUUGACAUUGGGGACAGGGAUAUACUAAGUAUAUGUAAGAUCAUGAUCAAGUGACACCUACUUGUAACAGUUAGCUAGAUUUAAAAGGGUUAGGUUUUGAAGUUUGCUAAAUCAUUCUAGGUAUGACUAGGAAAUUAGAUUUGUGUGUGUGUGUGUGUGUUUUCAUACAUGUUUUUUUUUUACCCCCUCCCAUUUUUAUGUUUUUAUGAUUCUGACUAAGGAUGUUGGUAUUUAACACCCCCACCUCCACCACUCAUGUGGACAAAGAUUUCCUGGAACCAUCCAUACCUUCAAUACAAAUAUCCGAUGUGCUCUGGAAAAUUUAUUAAACCCUAGGGGUAGGGUUUAAAAUAAAGAAGUAUGAAAAUGGGAGAAAAAAAUAUUGAGAAGCAUGAUGGAUGGGUCUCAUCCCUCCUUUCCAAAUAAAAUGAAGUUG